rnacentral:rRNA from 2 species
AGGCCCACGGCGAACGGGUGAGUAAUACCUAGGAACUUUCUUCAAGUUGGGCAUAACCUGCCGAAAGGCAGGAUAAUUCCCGAUGUGGUGCUGGCGCAAGUCAGUAUUAAAGUCGCAAGACGCUUGAAAUGAGGCCUGGGCACCAUCAGCUUGUUGGUAAGGUAAUGGCUUACCAAGGCGAUGACGGUUAGGGGCCCCGAGAGGGGAAACCCCCACACUGGAACUGCGACACGGUCCAGACUCCUACGGGAGGCAGCAGUUUGGAAUUUUGGACAAUGGGCGAAAGCCUGAUCCAGCGACGCCGCGUGGACGAUGAAGGCCUUCGGGUUGUAAAGUCCUUUUGUCAGGGAAGAAUAUUUGACGGUACCUGACGAAUAAGAGGUUGCUAACUCUGUGCCAGCAGCAGCGGUAAUACAGAGACCUCAAGCGUUAUCCGGAAUCAUUGGGCGUAAAGCGUACCGAUCGGUGGUUUUGCAAGUCAGAGGUGAAAUCUCAAGGCUCAACUUUGAGACUGUCCUUUGAAACUGCACAACUAGAGGGGCAAAGAGGAAGCUGGAACGAACGGUGUAGUAGUGAAAUGCGUUGAUAUCGAUCGGAACACCAAUAGCGAAGGCAGGCUUCUGGGUGCCACCUGACACUGCUAGGACGAAAGCGUGGGGAGCGAAUGGGAUUAGAUACCCCAGUAGUCCACGCUGUAAACGAUGCAUAUUAGGUGCUAGGGAGUAUCGACCCUCUUUAGUACCACAGCUAACGCGUUAAAUAUGCCGCCUGGGGAGUACGGCCGCAAGGCUAAAACUCAAAGGAAUUGACGGGGACCUGCACAAGCGGUGGAGCAUGUGG